UCUGGGGCUUUUUGCUUGCUUGGUUGGUUGGUUCUGUUGUUGUUGUUGCUGGUCUAUUUGUUUGCAUUUCUUGAGAUAUUAAUUCUUUCCUAGAAUUUAGCAUCUUCUGCUUGCAUUCUACUGCAGGCAACCAGUUCACAUAUAUGUGUUGACAAUAUCCCAUGAUCCAGAGUAACUUAAUGGAGUGAUGUGUAGCUGCACCAGUUUGUAAGUAGUAGGGACUCAUGAUAUUUUACUGAGAGAAAAAAAAGUGAAAACAUAUCUGCACAACUAUUUUUCUUGUUAAGUUUUUGUAGGUCUCUAUUAAGGCAUAAUGAACAGCACAGAAUCCAUUGUGUGCAGUAAGAAGAUUUUGUGACUAUACCGGGAGAAGUUUUACAGGCAGGACCCAGCUUCUUGACCUGCCUUCCAUGUGACUUACAGAUUUCCAGGGUCAGGUUCUGCAGCUUUGAUCUCGUCCUGACUCUUUCUGUGUUGUCAUGGGGCUGACACCAUGCAUACAGCUCAGCUGAGAAGGUCUACUCCAGAAGGCUCAAGGCUGAAUCCUUUGCCUCCUUUUCACACUGUUUAUGUUGGAGCCGACACCAGUGCAUCUGCCAUAAUUUAGUUUUUAACAGCUAGCUAUGUAAGUCUAUAUUAGUCUAUUUAAUAAUAUUGACACUUCAGAGUAGAGACUUCUCAAUGGAGACGCUACAUAGAUCAUAGUUGCAUAUUUUAAGAUCAGUCAUUCCACUAUGGAGGAGCUUAUUUAUAUCCUGCCAUUGCAAAAGAGAACUUCUGGGAAGAGUUCAGAUGUUAAAUUUUAGUAUUUGGGUGGUUUGUGCUAGAUGAGUUUUGGCAAAUUUUGAUUGAAUGGGAGCAGGAACAGCAUGCAAUAUUUUAAAUAUACUGACUUGUUGAUGCAUGCCAACAAUUUCCUUUCUAAUUAAGCAGAAGAAUAGUUGUUCCUUUUAGUUCUCCUUUCUCCACAAAAUCCUUGAGUUCAGCAAGUGUCUGAAGUAUGUGUCAGUUUACCCUUCAUUGUAGAAUACCUGUCACAGAGAGGUACUUAUGGAAGGAGGUGUCCUGGCUGAGGGGAAUUCCCUUUGUAAGGAUAUAAUUUCAAUCUUUGCCUCUGCAUUCCUACCUAGAGUAUCAGUGAGCUAGGGAUGGGCGGGGAGGAGGCAAACCAGGUCUGCAAGGAUAAGGGAAGUUCUGGUGGUGUGUCACCACUGGUGUAGAGAGUUGGCAAAAUGCCUGGAGAUGCCCCCUAGAACCUUUAGGGCCAUGCCUACAAAUGGGUCUCCAAUCAGGCUGGCUCUGGUUCCAGAGCCACAUUCAAACAUCCCCAGUCCUGGGCUCUGCCUCUCGGAGGGGUUCAUUAACAGGUGCAGCAUUGCACUGUCAGCAGUUGCACAGACAUUAGUUUGCAUGAAUACACAUGAUGCGAGUUCAAGUCUGCUCAGAGCAUUGUGGGCAUCCCUUGUUAUGUCUGUAAUAUGCCAGGUAAACCUUUCCCAAGCAGUCCCAGAAGCACUAGGCCCUGUAAUGCAGAAUUAAGUUCCACUGCCUUGUUAAUACCUUGAAAAUGUGAAGGACUGAUAAAAUUUCUAUUUUUGCAUGUGGAAGGUUUACCAAGAGGGACUUGUUCUUAGAAGCAAUAGCUCACAUUAGCUCAAUUCUAAAACCACUUUUGCAUGUGACUAGCUUCAUUCAUCCAAGUGGUCCCUGUCCAGUUUCAUAAGACCACUCAUGCAUGAAGACCAUUCAUAUGAGUAUUUGUAAAAUUGAAGUUCAUAUC